rnacentral:misc_RNA from 1 species
GAUGAAGAACGUAGCGAAAUGCGAUACGUAAUGUGAAUUGCAGAAUUCAGUGAAUCAUCGAAUCUUUGAACGCACAUUGCGCCCCUUGGUAUUCCGGGGGGCAUGCCUGUUCGAGCGUCAUUUCAACCCUCAAGCUCUGCUUGGUAUUGGGCUCCGUCCUCCUCGGACGCGCCUCAAAGACCUCGGCGGUGGCGUCUUGCCUCAAGCGUAGUAGAAACACCUCGCUUUGGAGUGCAUGGCGUCGCCCGCCGGACGAAACCUUUUGUAUUUUCUCAAGGUUGACCUCGGAUCAGGUAGGGAUACCCGCUGAACUUAAGCAUAUCAAUAAGAGGA